rnacentral:misc_RNA from 1 species
UUUCCGUAGGUGAACCUGCGGAAGGAUCAUUGUCGAGACCGAAACACAUCGAGCGAUUCGGAGAACUCGUGAAGCGAGCGGCGGCGUCUGCCGCCGCGGGACGACCGUCCCGGCCGUCGCCUCGUCCCCUCCUGGGAGGGGCGCGGGGGGCGCGGCCGGGGACGGAUGAAAACAAAAACCGGCGCAGCUCCGCGCCAAGGGAAAUACGAAAGGCACGGGCCCCGCGUCGGGCUCGGUGGCGUGGAGCGCCGUCGCGCUCCAUGCGGAUGGACAUGACUCUCGGCAAUGGAUAUCUCGGCUCUC